GGUUCAAAUGCAACUCAAAUCCUUCUCCCCCAACCAUUAAUGGGGUAAACAACGUUGUUCUGCCUUUGGAUUUGCAAGAUACGAGACGUCUCUUCUUCCUCCACAUGAAGCUUCUGCGAGUAAAAACAAUAGCUCCAAAGUCUCACACAAGGGUUUUCAAGAUUAGAAACGGAAUUGGAGAAUGGGAGCUUUGUUUCUACUUCUCAUCAAAAUAUAUAAUCUAGGCAAAAGAAAAUGUUUUUUCAAGAAGGACGGACGAAAAAGCCUAAACACAGUAGUUCACCCUUGGGGCCUUAAACACUCUUUCGAUGUUUGAAACUUUCUGUUAACACUAAUGGCGUUGCCGUUAAGAAUCAUGGUUGCUGUUUGAACACCAUUGAUGAAAGCUUGUUGUCGUUAAUGGUUUGAGGAGCAAGGUUUGAGCCUGGGAACGUGAGGGCUCUGGAGUAUUCUGUAAGUACUUAGUUAGGUUUUGUUUAUAAAGGUUUUAUAUUUUAUCAAGUUUUAUUUAUAAAAUUUCAGUGGGUGAUGGUCAGUUAAGCAUCA